AAGAAAAUAACACAACUAAAUCCAAAUAGUCAUCAAACCAUCCUAGUUUUUCUAAUUUUAGUUUUUGAAAAUUAAGUUUUUAUAUUAAAUUUUGAAAAUAAAAAAUAUUUUUUUAAGAAAAAUCCCACCAAACGACAAAAACACUUAGAAAAAAAUAGUUUAUGAUACCAAUUUUUUUACAUAUUACGAAUAUGGUAAAAUUAGUGAUAUCAAAUGGCUAUCAGACGA
rnacentral:lncRNA from 1 species